GCCAGACUCCUACGGGAGGCAGCAGUGGGGGAUAUUGCACAAUGGGGGGAACCCUGAUGCAGCGACGCCGCGUGGGUGAAGGAGCGUUUCGGCGCGUAAAGCCCUAUCGGCAGGGAAGAAGGAGGACGGUACCUGACUAAGAAGCCCCGGCUAACUACGUGCCAGCAGCCGCGGUAAUACGUAGGGGGCAAGCGUUAUCCGGAUUUACUGGGUGUAAAGGGGGCGCAGACGGCAGCGCAAGCCAGGAGUGAAAGCCCGGGUCCCAACCCCGGGACUGCUCUUGGAACUGCGCGGCUGGAGUGCAGGAGGGGCAGGCGGAAUUCCUGGUGUAGCGGUGAAAUGCGUAGAUAUCAGGAGGAACACCGGUGGCGAAGGCGGCCUGCUGGACUGCGACUGACGUUGAGGCCCGAAAGCGUGGGGAGCAAACAGGAUUAGAUACCCCCGUACUU
rnacentral:rRNA from 1 species